AUCAGAUUUACUUUUUAAGCUCAUAAGGAGGUUUCUGUCUUGCACUGAGAAUUUAUGAGUUCCUGUUGUUUAAGUCACAGGUCAGGAAGUGACCUGGGAUGCACUUCUCUACUCUGGAAAUUAGUCUUUCAGAGAAACAGAGAUAAAGUGGUAUAAGAAAUGCACAGCGCUAUUUUUCCCCAAAAGUUGUAUGCUUUUCAUUGGGGCAUAGUAAGGACAAAUCAAUGAGACAAGUGUGCACAGUGAAUCAUAAGGGGUUUCAAACUGCCUAAAGAUAUAUUAACUCAGAAUCUCUGUCAGGACCAAUUCAUACGAAGUCUACUUCUGGAAAGUAACUUGGGCUGUUAUUUACAAAAAAUAUCCAAUCUUGGAAAUACUGCCCUGUGAGAAACUUUACAGACCUUGUACUGCAUGCAGUGUUUUUGUCUCACUGAAGUCAUCUCACGAGCCUGUGUUUCCUCAUCUAUUACAUAUCAAUGAGGAGAAUAAUUUAGUGCAAAUCCUGAAGAGCGAUGGUACCUGAAAAAGGAAUGAGAUUAAUGAUCAAUAGCUUGACCACCAGCCAAGAAAAAUAAGAGGUGGCCAGAGGCUGGGUAGUGACAACCAAAGACUGUGUCAGUAAGGUAAACUGUGCCCAGUGUCAUGGUGACGGUAUCAUUCAGAACAACCCUCACCAACAGCAUAUAUAAACUUAAAAAUAUAAAGACAGCAUGCAGAUGCUGUAGCUGUGAGGGGCUGAGUAAUGGUGAUGAGCUGCCUCAUAAGGACACUGAAGGGGAAAAUAUUUAUUUUCUCCCCUUCCUUUAUUCCUUUUAUUUCUGUGUUGCCUCAGUCUGCUUUUUUCAGCUUUUUCUGUUUGAAUAAAUCCUGGAUCACAUAUUUAAAAGA